GUCCUACCUGGUGGCAAUUAAAUGAAGAAAGAGAGAGGAGCUGGCGCCUGCUUCGUCGACGGCCAGUGCACGUGCUCCCAGGCUUGGAGACCAUUCAGCUGGGCGUUGUAUGAAUUCGACGACGGCGUUGGCAGAUCGAUUGCGUCCACGCACCAGCGUGACUUGUUCUUCCUGUCGUGCUUCCACGCCAAAUCAACUGAGGAUGACAGCGGCGCACGGCAUGGGGAAGCCGGUGGCGCCGUGGGAGAUGGCGGCGCACGGCGUGGUACGGUGAUUUCCUCCUACGCGCAGCGAUUCGUCCCUCUACCUGGAGGCUGCUGUUAGCGGUGGCAACAUGGCAGGAGGCAUGGGCAUGGAGGUGUUGGCUGGAGGAGGAAGGAGCUCGGGGGCUCGACAAGUGCCGGGGGCACAACCAGUUUGAUGAUUAGAAAUAAUGAUCACUUUGCCGAACUUGUUUCAUGUUCAGAAUCUGAAAAAAAUGUUCUGAAGCUAGCAUUGUCUACAAACUUAUUGUUCCCUAAUUCAAUUAACUUUAUGCUUUUCAUAGGGACCAUAGCCCACACCCAAAUGGUGAUUUUAUUAACAUGUUCAAUCACCAGCUGAACAUGUCGCUGCUUUCCAGAUGUUUCAGGAAUAGGCUAUUUCCAGAUAGCAACUAGAAGGUACACCGGCUAAAAUUUACUGUCCAUGUUCUCAGAUAUGUACAAGUUAGCAUAAGUGUUCUUGAUAGCCCUUGCUGUUAGGAUUGGUGUUAACCCAUGCUGCCUGCAAGCAUCAACCGGAUCCAAAUUUUUUCGCAUUGUGGAAUCUCAGACUUUAUGUAAUAUUUGAACUAAAUGAUCUGCAGCUAUGUGUUAUGAUGAACUGACUCUAGUCAGUAUGAUAAGUGCAAUAUUUCAGUUUUUAUGAA